CAGGUCUUGACAUCCCUUUGACCGGUCUAGAGAUAGACCUUUCCUUCGGGACAGAGGAGACAGGUGGUGCAUGGUUGUCGUCAGCUCGUGUCGUGAGAUGUUGGGUUAAGUCCCGCAACGAGCGCAACCCUUAUGCUUAGUUGCCAGCAGGUCAAGCUGGGCACUCUAAGCAGACUGCCGGUGACAAACCGGAGGAAGGUGGGGAUGACGUCAAAUCAUCAUGCCCCUUAUGACCUGGGCUACACACGUACUACAAUGGCCGGUACAACGGGAAGCGAAGCCGCGAGGUGGAGCCAAUCCUAGAAAAGCCGGUCUCAGUUCGGAUUGUAGGCUGCAACUCGCCUACAUGAAGUCGGAAUUGCUAGUAAUCGCGGAUCAGCAUGCCGCGGUGAAUACGUUCCC
rnacentral:rRNA from 1 species